UUUCUCAGAGGAGUUUAAGAAAUGAAGAAUCAUUCUCAUACUCAUUUGCUGCUUCAUCUGUAUACUUUCAGUGCUCAUAACCAAAGGUGAGAACAAAACAAACUACAUCUCAGUUAAAUCCAUGCCAUAUUAACUUAUACUGUAUUAAUUACAAGAUUAAUUUUUAAUGAGCCGAAAAGAAUGCACGUCACACCUCUGUUUAUCAGUUUGCACUGGCUACUAAUAGCUGCUCGCAUAAAAUUCAAGGCAUUGAUGUUUGCCUACAAAACCACCACUGGCUCUGGACCCCUUUACCUAAAUUCAUUACUUCAGACUUGUGUGCCCUCUUGAAGCUUGCAUUCUGCAAGUGAACGUCGCUUGAUUGUGCCAUCCCAAAGAGGCACAAAAUCACUUUUACGGAAUUUUAAAUUAAAUGUUCCCUCCUGGUGGAAUGACCUGCCCAACUCCAACUUUUAUUUAAAAAAAAAAACUAAAUAGCUUUCUAAUCUUUUUGUAUCAUAUCUGUUUUCUUUUCAUUUAUUAUACAAUUAACAAAAGCAAAAAAGACCUCUAACACUAGCUUGCUCUAUUCUUUUUAUAUUCUAUCUGUUUUCUUUUUUUUUUUUAUAUUAUUUCAAACUCAACAAUCUUGAACAUAUUCAUGCAGGAAAAUACAUCUGUCACAUCACGCCUUCAUCUGAACAGAAGACUGUAGAGCUGAUCAUCAACGAAUCAACAGCAGAAACAGGAAACGAAUCCACUAAUCAAGGAAACCGAGGAGAAGAUACAGUGACAUCACCAUCGUUGCUCUGUGUUUACAUUGUAGUGGCUGUAGUACUCAAAAAUUUUAUUGUG
ensembl:lncRNA